UUUUUUGAUAAACCCUAUCGGCUAAUCCGGUCAACCCCGGUAGAAACGCACCGAAGUACUUCAGAGUGGACUUUUUCCCGAAGGACCACCACACUGUCUGUCCCGAGUUUGGAUGCUUUCCGACUAAUGCCAGGGGGUAGUCAGGCCGCCUGCAUUUCUGACUACCAGGUAAAUCAAUUGGGCCAAAGCCCAACUGACAGACUUCCCAAACAAAUGUGAUUUUUGUUUCCAGGAGCAUCGAACCCAGGUCUGAAAGUUUCACCCUUCCCCAAAUCUUCUCCUACCACUGGACCACAGAUGCUUGGACA
rnacentral:misc_RNA from 1 species